UAUAUGCCAUGAGUGAAUAUUAGAAAAUAUUCCUAUGGAUAAAAAGAUAUUGUCAAAAAUGUUAAAAGCUGGCGUUAUGAAUGAAGGCAGUUAUCAAGAUACUGAAGAAGGUAUUCCACAGGGUGGUGUAAUAUCUCCUAUUAUAGCUAAUUUAUGCCUUGAUGGUUUAGAUAAAACUAUAAAAAGGGCGUCUAAUAAUAAAGCAACUCUUGUGAGAUAUGCGGAUGAUUUCAUUAUAGUGUCCCAGAACUAUGAUAUUUUAGAUAAGUUAAUUCUAGAUGUUAACAAAUUUCUAAAAAUAAGAGGUUUAGAAUUAAAUAUGGAAAAAAGUAAAAUCACUAAAAUUGAAAAUGGAUUUGAUUUUGUAGGUUUCCACUUUAGGGAAUUCUCGGAUUCUACUCGAGAAAUCGGGGAAAAGAAAGGGAUUUUUCUAUACAAACCUACAAAAGAAAGCUUACAAAAAGUAAAAGCUAAAAUAAAACUUUGUGUCAAAGAACAUUCGCAACUUCCUCUGUGAAUGCUUUUCUCAAAACUAAAUCCAAUAUUAAGGGGCUGAGCAAAUUAUUACUCGUCUAGUACUGCAAAGUUAGCUUAUACCCGAAUAAGUAAAUACGUUUUUGAUUCCAUUCAUCGCAUGAUAAAAAUUAAGCAUCCAAAGCUUAAUGCUAAAGCGCUUAAAUCCAAAUUUUAUCACAAAGUGAAUAAUAGAGAUUGAUUAAUGUCUACUAGCACUGAAUUUAAAAGAUUUAAGAAAAUUAAUUUGUUUCAAAUAUCCGACACUCCUAUUAAAAGAACUACUAUGAUAAAACUUGACGCUAAUUCCUAUUUGGGUGAGUUUGAGGAGUAUUUUAAUAAAAGAUCUUUGAAUAUGUGUUUUAAUCAGCAAACGAAUAAUAUUCGAUUAAAGCUGGCAAAAAGACAAAAAGGUAUGUGCCCUAUAUGUAAAGAAUCUUUAAAUAGUCAAUAUGGAGAUAUAUUGUACGAAUUAGAAAUUCACCAUAUCAUACCUGUGGUGAGUGGAGGUAAAAAUAUAUUAAAAAAUAUGACUCUUCUUCAUAAAACGUGUCAUCGCGACAGAGCUGCGAAUGAGAUAAUUAUACUUAAGGAACUCGGCAAAUUUGCUCCGUACGUUCGCAACAAGGAGUACCUUAAAGGAUUCAAAAAUUAGGGGUAGCGACUGUUUAACAAAAACUCAAAACUUUGCAAAUUCGAAAGAAGACGUAUAAGGUUUGACGCCUGCCCAGUGCUUGAAAGCGAAAAAUACACGUUAACGCUUGUAUCAUAAACUCAAGUAAACGGCGGUCUUAACUAUAAGGAUCCUCAGGUAGCGAAAUUCCUUGGCGGGUAAAUUCCGUCCUGCAUGAAUGGCGUCACGACUACCCCACUGUCUCUAGUAUAAACUCAGCGAAAUUACAUUGUCUGUGAAAAUGCAGACAUCCUACAACAAGACGGAAAGACCCUAUGAUUCUUAACUAUAAUUUUACGUCGCAAUAAUUUUGUGUACAGUACAGUAAAAGUAGGAGUAUACUUAUACAAUUUUGAAAAACUACUCUGUACAUAAGAAAUUGCUUACUGAAGAGAAAAUAUGUAAAAGUGGUAGUUUACUUGGGACGAGGACCUCCUAAACUGUAACGGAGGUGCACAAAAGUAAAUUUUAAUUAGUUUUUUGUAUUAAUAAAAUAUGUAAUGGUAAAAAUUUGCUUGACGGUAAGAGUUACAACUCAAACCGGGACGAAAGUCGGUCAUAAUGAUCCGGCAGUAAUGUAUGGAAAUACUGUCGCUUAUCGGAAAAAAGAAACUCUAGGGAUAACAGAUUUAUCAUGGCUGAGAGUUCUUAUCGACGCCAUGGUUUGAUACCUCGAUGUCGGCUCAUCUUUUCCUGGAGCUGUAACAGGUUCCAAGGGUAUGGUUGUUCGCCAAAUAAUAAGAUACGUGAGCUGGGUUCAGAACGUCGUGAGACAGUUCGGUCCCUAUCUGUUGUGGGUAAGAAGGGAUGUACUUCUCGUAAAUAGCUAAUCUCCACUUUAGGGAUUAAACUAAUAUUACAGGUAGGAAGCUAGUUCAUACAGAUCUAGUGGGCCUAUGCAUUACUCCUAAUGCUGAUCAAUGAGCUGUGUUACAAGCAGUGAACCCUAUGCAACGUGAAAAUAGUCAUUCACGGAGUAUAAGCAGGGCAUAAAUUUAAGUGGAUGUUACUUAUAAACAUUUUAACUCGAAGAG
rnacentral:rRNA from 1 species